rnacentral:lncRNA from 1 species
AAAAACAACAGCAGAGGGUCACCAACAGGUCUUCAAUGUAGCGAGAAAUUCCCGCACCCCGAGGCGUCCUUCAGCUGGCCCCUAAACAAAUAUAUACUAGUCCAGUGAUAAUGAACGCCAUACUAAUUUCCAAAUUGUACACAAGAAACUAAAAUUAAAAUAAUACAAGACUAACAAAGGCCAGAGGCUCCUGACUUGGGACAGGCGCAAAAAUGCGGCGGGGUUAAACAUGUUUGUGAGAUCUCAACCCCCCCCCCC